rfam:Lupinus angustifolius cultivar Tanjil chromosome LG01, whole genome shotgun sequence.
GCAAUUUGUUAAGUUGGUUAGAGCACCCGUUUAGUAAAUGGGAGGUCUUGAGUUCAACUCUCAAUAAAAGCA